UUCGCAAUGCCCGAAAGGGUGACGAAGCGACGCCGCGUGCGGGAGGAAGGCCUUCGGGUUGUAAACCGCUGUCGGGAGUUAAGAAAUGCAAGGAUGUUAAUAGCGUUCUUGCUUGACUAAGGCUCCGGAGGAAGCCACGGCUAACUCUGUGCCAGCAGCCGCGGUAAUACAGAGGCGGCAAGCGUUGUUCGGUAUUAUUGGGCGUAAAGAGCACGUAGGUGGUUUUGUAAGUCAGAUGUGAAAGCCUUCUGUUCAAAGGAAGAACGGCAUCUGAAACUGCAGAUCUUGAGUGUAGGGGGGGAGAGUGGAACUUCUGGUGGAGCGGUGAAAUGCGUAGAUAUCAGAAGGAACGUCGGCGGCGAAAGCGACCCUCUGGCCUAUUACUGACACUGAGUGUGCGAAAGUUAGGGGAGCAAACGGGAUUAGAUACCCCGGUAGUCCUAGCCGUAAAUGAUGGGCACUAAGUAGAGGGGUUUU
rnacentral:rRNA from 1 species